CAACAUCACUGGUGUCAUAGAUAUGGACGGAUUUACUAUUAACAAGAUAUUUUACUGCAAAGAACUUGCAUGCAUCAGAAAAGGACAAACCUAUGCCACAUCCACACUCUUCGACCUCGGCUUGCAAUGGAAGGACCUUAGCGAGAAAGAUAAAAAAGCAGCGCGUUUCGUGGAACGAUAUAUUCACAAAAUCUGACUCACAUCACCGCCCAACCAACCAACAGUCCCCCUAUUCCGUUUACCCGAUAUCAUUAAAGAAUUCUUCAGUGAACCAGAUGCAUUGGUGGCGUAUAAAGGGGGUCACUUCGAAAAGGAUCUGUUACGUCGAGUGGGCAUUCCCUCCAUCAAUCUCGAAUCUUCUGGGUGUCCUAAAACCGAACUACUUUUCAAGGAUCUUGGAUGGGUAGAAACCUGCGGACACCAUCUCACCCCAAACGCAUACCAUCAUUGCCCUAAAGUCGAUGUCGAAGCGUUUGCGACGUGGUUAUGGUAAAAAACAAAAAACGGUUCUUUUAAGAACCACUAUAUAUUAAAAG